rnacentral:lncRNA from 1 species
AGAGGGCGCCCACCAGCCUCUAUCCCUAGCCAGUUUCCCAGCAGGCCCCUGCCCCCUCAGACUGACACUUUAAAAUCAGCCAAUGAGUCUCUUUCACGUAAAGUCUGGGUGCUUUUCAAAGGGCUGCUUCUGUGCUGGGCCCACGAUUUUGUGCAUCUGUGGGAGGAAGUGAGUUCAGGAUCUUCCUACAUCGCCAUCUUGAACGGAAACCUCUAAAAAUCCUAAUAGUAAAGGGAACCAGAGCAUCUGAAUCAGCACGCUCAGAGGAACCAAGUUGAGUUUUAUGCCUAUGAAGAGCAAUUCCAUGGUUUGGUGACUCAUCUGGUGACUGGUCAUAAAUGAUGGCCACGAUUCAUCUAUACCUGUACGGAGAGCUUGGGAGGCAUUUCCAUAGGCUUACUGUCAAGUGAAUGUUAAAGCCCCCAUUCCCUGGGAAGCAAAGACUGUGUUUGUAUAUGGUGUGUUGAUUAAUAUGUCGCUGAGUGCAAAUCCUUUCUUACUGGUGUGAUUUGAACUGAGACAAAGAGUUCAAGGGUGAAGAAGUAAGACCCUACUUGGCUCUGCUUUUUAGCGCAUGGAGCAGAAAUACAUCCAUGAACAACUGCCUUCGCAAGUUGAUUACCGGGCAAUAUAAUUUCUCAGUUUUUAUGGGUAAAUGAGUGCUUCUCGUCAUGGACUAGCUUGCGCUUCAAUUUAGUCAGCUCUCUGAUCUUUUUGGAAUUUCUCCUGAUGUAUGAUGUGAAAAGUCGAUCCACUUUUAUUGUUUUCCAUGGCUAUCCUUGUUUAGCCACUCUAUUAAUUAAGGUGUCCACCUUAAUUGGACCAGUCCCUCACUGUAAGGAUGAAGGUUAUUGCUGUGUUCUUCUACUUCCCUAUGAAUUACUGGAAAGCAACUGUUUUAAACAAUGGCAGAAGGAAAGAAAGAAGAGGGGGAAAAAAUCUCUUGCAAUUUUUAGGGGGAAGAGUGGCGCACCGAGGAAAAGCUGUGACAAACUUUUCAUGUGUGCAGUCAUAGCCGGAUAUUGUGACAAAGAACGACGAAGAAAAUCAAGGCAGUGCAAUAGCAUAUUUAGACAUAACACAAAAUAAAAACCCUUCACCAAAGAGUUUCCACAGACUAAAUUAUUUUGGAUUCCGAAAAACUUAUUGUUG